rnacentral:rRNA from 1 species
AUUGAACGCUGGCGGCAGGACUAACACAUGCAAGUCGAGCGAUCGGCGGAGUGGUGAGUAAUGUAUGAAGACUUCCCGAUCGAGGGGGAUAACUACUGGAAACGGUGGCUAAUAACGCAUACUAUCUGAUGACCCAUAUGGGAUUAGCUAGUAGGUGGGUUAAAGGCUCACCUAGGGGACGAGCUCUAUCUGGUCUGAGAGGAAGAUCGUCCACAGUGGGACUGGGACCCGGCCCAGACUCCUACGGAGGCAGCAGUGGGUAAUAUUGCACCAUGUGCGCAAGCCUGAUGCAGCCCUGCCGCGUGUCUGAAGAAGGCCUUAGGGUUGUAAAGUACUGUCGGCGGGGAGGCGUUACCCGCAGAAGAAGCACCGGCUAACUCCGGGCCAGCAGCCGCGGUAAUUC